rnacentral:rRNA from 1 species
UAUCGCUCAGCUUUAGCAAACUGGUCCCUGCGGUGCCCGAGUUGUAACUUAGAAGAACGCUAUCUUGGAUUUGGCCUUUGUCUAUGUUCCUUGGAACAGGACGUCACAGAGGGUGAGAAUCCCGUGCGAUGAGGUGUCCAUUUCUAUGUAAGAUGUUUUCGAAGAGUCGAGUUGUUUGGGAAUGCAGCUCUAAGUGGGUGGUAAAUUCCAUCUAAAGCUAAAUAUUGGCGAGAGACCGAUAGCGAACAAGUACAGUGAUGGAAAGAUGAAAAGAACUUUGAAAAGAGAGUGAAAAAGUACGUGAAAUUGUUGAAAGGGAAGGGUAUUAGAUCAGACUUGGUAUUUAGUUAUCAUUACUCCUUGUGGGUGGUGCUCUAACUUUUUACUGGGCCAGCAUCAGUUUUGGUGGCAGGAUAAUGACAUUUGAAUGUGGCUCCUCGGAGUGUUAUAGCUUUUGUUGAUACUGCCUAUCCGGACUGAGGUCUGCGGCUUUUGCCUAUGAUGCUGGCGGAAGGAUCCAUACC